GAGAGAUGGUCGAGCUGGCUUAAGGCACCGGUCUUGAAAACCGGCGUACGUUUACGCGUACCGUGGGUUCAAAUCCCACUCUCUC
rnacentral:tRNA from 1 species